UACGUAGGGUGCGAGCGUUAAUCGGAAUUACUGGGCGUAAAGCGUGCGCAGGCGGUUUUGUAAGCCAGAUGUGAAAGCCCCGGGCUUAACCUGGGAAUGGCAUUUGGGACUGCAAGGCUUGAGUGCGGCAGAGGAGACUGGAAUUCCUGGUGUAGCAGUGAAAUGCGUAGAUAUCAGGAGGAAUACCGAUGGCGAAGGCAGGUCUCUGGGCUGACACUGACGCUCAUGCACGAAAGUGUGGGGAGCAAACAGG
rnacentral:rRNA from 1 species